rnacentral:rRNA from 1 species
UCCGUAGGCGGGCGUCUAAGUCAGUGGUGAAAUCUUACAGCUCAACUGUAAAAUUGCCAUUGAUACUGGAUGUCUUGAAUUAGUGUGAAGUGGUUAGAAUGUGUAGUGUAGCGGUGAAAUGCAUAGAUAUUACACAGAAUACCAAUUGCGAAGGCAGAUCACUAACACUAUAUUGACGCUGAGGGACGAAAGCGUGGGGAGCGAACAGGAUUAGAUACCCUGGUAGUCC